CUCAAGCUUCGGGAGAAAAUCCUUUUGUGUCCGCUGCGGCGGACAUAAAAGAUUGAAACGGAUAGCGGGAUUAGCU
rnacentral:sRNA from 1 species